AUCUAGUGGCGUUAUCUACUACGGUCAAGAUAUAUGUCUUGUUUGAAGGGCUUGGUCUAGUCAAGGGCCCUACUAAGUCUACAGCUACUCUGCUGAAAGGUUCCUCAAUACUUGGGAGAGGGUGGAGUUUUGCUCCACGGCGGUCUCCUCUCUUACCCACCCCCUGACAGGUGUGACAAGUCUGGCAAUACUGCCGAAUAUCUUUUGAAAUCCCUGGCCAGAAAAAGUUCUGCGUUAACCUGUAUUUAGUCUGGCUGACUCCUAAAUGUCUGGAUAUUGAAAUAUCUUAGGCUGUCCGGAGUAACUCCUGCCUAUAUCUCUGGGGGACUACCAACUGUUUCAUGGUGAUCGGUACGGACCCAGCUAC